rnacentral:rRNA from 1 species
GAUUAAGUUAUUAAGGGCGCACGGUGGAUGCCUUGGCACUAGAAGCCGAUGAAGGACGUUACUAACGACGAUAUGCUUUGGGGAGCUGUAAGUAAGCUUUGAUCCAGAGAUUUCCGAAUGGGGAAACCCAGCAUGAGUUAUGUCAUGUUAUCGAUAUGUGAAUACAUAGCAUAUCAGAAGGCACACCCGGAGAACUGAAACAUCUUAGUACCCGGAGGAAGAGAAAGAAAAUUCGAUUCCCUUAGUAGCGGCGAGCGAAAUGGGAAGAGCCCAAACCAACAAGCUUGCUUGUUGGGGUUGUAGGACACUCUAUACGGAGUUACAAAGGACGACAUUAGACGAAUCAUCUGGAAAGAUGAAUCAAAGAAGGUAAUAAUCCUGUAGUCGAAAAUGUAGUCUCUCUUGAGUGGAUCCUGAGUACGACGGAGCACGUGAAAUUCCGUCGGAAUCUGGGAGGACCAUCUCCUAAGGCUAAAUACUCUCUAGUGACCGAUAGUGAACCAGUACCGUGAGGGAAAGGUGAAAAGCACCCCGGAAGGGGAGUGAAAUAGAACCUGAAACCGUGUGCUUACAAGUAGUCAGAGCCCGUUAAUGGGUGAUGGCGUGCCUUUUGUAGAAUGAACCGGCGAGUUACGAUUUGAUGCAAGGUUAAGCAGUAAAUGUGGAGCCGUAGCGAAAGCGAGUCUGAAUAGGGCGUUUAGUAUUUGGUCGUAGACCCGAAACCAGGUGAUCUACCCUUGGUCAGGUUGAAGUUCAGGUAACACUGAAUGGAGGACCGAACCGACUUACGUUGAAAAGUGAGCGGAUGAACUGAGGGUAGCGGAGAAAUUCCAAUCGAACCUGGAGAUAGCUGGUUCUCUCCGAAAUAGCUUUAGGGCUAGCCUCAAGUGAUGAUUAUUGGAGGUAGAGCACUGUUUGGACGAGGGGCCCCUCUCGGGUUACCGAAUUCAGACAAACUCCGAAUGCCAAUUAAUUUAACUUGGGAGUCAGAACAUGGGUGAUAAGGUCCGUGUUCGAAAGGGAAACAGCCCAGACCACCAGCUAAGGUCCCAAAAUAUAUGUUAAGUGGAAAAGGAUGUGGCGUUGCCCAGACAACUAGGAUGUUGGCUUAGAAGCAGCCAUCAUUUAAAGAGUGCGUAAUAGCUCACUAGUCGAGUGACACUGCGCCGAAAAUGUACCGGGGCUAAACAUA